GCGAUCAUACCAGCACUAAUGCACCGGAUCCCAUCAGAACUCCGCAGUUAAACGUGCUGGGAGAGAGUAGUACUAGGCUGGGUGACAUCCUGGGAAGUCCUCGUGUGGCACCCC
rnacentral:rRNA from 1 species